rnacentral:tRNA from 1 species
GGGCGAUUAGCUCAGUUGGCUAGAGCACUACCUCGACACGGUAGGGGUCACAGGUUCGAGUCCUGUAUCGCCCACCC